AACUAGGAUUAGAUACCCUAUUAUUGGAAAUGUAAAUUAUUAUACUUGAUUAGUAGUAGUUAUGAUCUUGAAAUUCAAAGAAUCUGGCGGUAUUUUAGUCUAUUCAGAGGAACCUGUCCUAUAAUUGAUGAUCCACGAUUAAUUGAACUUAUUUUAAAGGUUUGUAUAUCGUCGUAGUUUGAAUGUUUUAAAAGAAGAUGGAAUAUUCAAGAUUUAAAAAAUUAAAGGAAAUCAGAUCAAGAUACAGCGAAUAAAUAAGGAGAGAUGGGUUACAAUAAAUAUAUUUAUAUAGUUAGUUUAAUUAAAAUUAAGUUAUAAAGUGGAUUUGAAGGUAAUAUAAUUAAGUUAAAUUAUAUGAUUUUAGCUCUAAAAUAUGCACAUAUCGCCCGUCGCUCCCAUUUUAAGGUGGGAUAAGUCGUAACAAAGUAGGUGUACUGGAAAGUGUACCUGGUAAGGCAAAUUAGAGCUUGUUAAAAAGCAUUUUAUUUACAUUAAAAAGUUAGUUGUGAGAAUCAAUAUAAUUUGAAAUUAUUAAUUUAUAUUAAUCAAUUAAAAAAAAUAUUUUUAUUAUUAGUAUUUUUUAGAAUAUCUGUAGUUUAUUAUAGUUUAGUGUAUAGAGAUGGAUUAUUGAAAUAAUUUAAAGUUUAAUUAGAUAAAAGAAGUAUUCAUUUUAUGUACCUUGUGUAUCAGGGUUUAUUAAAAUAGUUUAAUAAAUUAGGUUUCUCGAAUUUUAAAGAGCUAAUAUUAUAUAGAUUUAAUUGUAGUAUAAAUUUUUAUAAUAUAAUAUUAGAAAUGAAACGUUAAUCGUUUUUAAAGAUAUCUAGUUUUUUAAGAAAUAAAUUUAAUUUAGUUUAUAGUUUGUAUUUAAUUAAUUAAUUAAUGGGAUAUAAUUAUAAUUUAAUAUUUUAGGGGAUAAGCUUUAGAAUAAAGUGAUAUAAUUAUUGUAGGUAUUUAAGAAAAAUUAUAGGAUUGGAAGUUUUUAUUUAUAGUGUGUUAUAACUAAUUUUUUUUUUGUAUAAGCUUUAUAUAUGAAUUUAUAUUUUUUAUUAAAAUGAUAUAGUUAAUUUUAUUUUAUAUGUAAUAAUGAUAGAAUUAGUAUAAUUUAGUGUAUAAUUAAUUUGAACUGUAGAGGUUAAGUUAAGGAACUCGGCAAAUUUAUUUUUCGCCUGUUUAUUAAAAACAUGUCUUUUUGAUAAUAAUUUAAAGUCUGACCUGCCCAAUGAGGAGUUGAAUGGCCGCGGUAUUUUGACCGUGCAAAGGUAGCAUAAUCAUUAGUUUUUUAAUUGAAAGCUGGAAUGAAUGGUUGGACGAGAAAGUGACUGUCUCAAUUUAAUUUAAAUUAGAAUUUUAUUUUUAAGUAAAAAAGCUUAAAUGGAUUUAAAAGACGAGAAGACCCUAUAGAGUUUUAUAUUUUUUUUUAUAUAAGUAUUUUAGACUUGGGAAAUUUAUAUAGAAAGAAGUAUUUUGUUGGGGUGACAGAAAAAUUGAAGAAACUUUUUUUUUAUAUUACAUUUAUUUAUGGUUAUAUGAUCCGUUAUUAACGAUUAAAAGAUUAAAUUACCUUAGGGAUAACAGCGUAAUUUUUUUUGAGAGUUCUUAUCGAAAAAAGAGUUUGCGACCUCGAUGUUGGAUUAAAAUUAACUUUUGGUGUAGGGGCUGAAAGGUUAGGUCUGUUCGACCUUUAAAAUUUUACAUGAUCUGAGUUCAAACCGGAGA
rnacentral:rRNA from 1 species